CUGUCGUCCAGCCUAAUGUAAACCCGCCACAUCUGUGGGUGGUCCACCUCAAAAUACAUUUUCAUCCUUCUUUGACAAUAUUGCCGAUGGACUUAAUAAUCUAUUGAAACCAUUAACUUCUCCAAGACAAACUGGCGAACAGACUCAAGGAGGAGGUGGUUUGUUUGGUUCCCUUGACCGUGCUUUCAACAAUCUUUUCCAACCAAUCACGAACCAAAAAUGUGAAUCCAAUAACCAAUAUAG